UCCCCGUUACCGGGGCAGUCUGAAUAGAAAAAUACAACUACGGGGCACUCAAUCCUUUCGGAUUAAUUCUCGGGAUGUCAAACCCUGGUAAGGUUCUUCGUUUAUCAUCGAAUUAAAGAACACGUUCCACCGCUUGUGCGGGUCCCCGUCAAUUCCUUUAUGUUUUAGUCUUGCGACCGUACUCCACAGGCGGGAUACUUAACGCGUUAGCUUCGCUACUGAAGGGGUCGAUACCUCCAACAGCUAGUAUCCAUCGUUUACGGCGUGGACUAC
rnacentral:misc_RNA from 1 species